AUGGAAUCCAGUACUACAUGAAUAGCAAGUUUCUCUAGGUUUUCUAUAAUCUUCUACUGUCCUAAUUAUACUCUAAAAUGCGAAGGGCUGAUGGUGAUGGGUGUUUAGAUGUCUCUUGAUUGGGAGUCGUUAGUAUUUAGCUUAAGUCCGUUGAGAUGUAAAAGAGGCCUGUGUGUGAGAGCUGCGCUGCCCGCAGAAGCUCAGUAGCAGCCACCUCAGUGACUGACAGGUGGGUCAAAGUUGCGGAUUUAAGGUGGCUCUGGGAUUUGUGUGAGGCCCAAUAGCCAUCCCCUUCUUUUACCCUGACGCAGUGAAGUUUUCAAUGCAUGAUGAUGUGUGUGAGAGGAAGGGAAUUAAAGAGAGAGAGAGACUUUGCUUAAAGUUGUGUGUGUGUGUGCAUGGGUGAAUUUUAGCACAACCUUCAAUGAGCACAGCUGUGUCGGUGCCUGGAUGUGUUGUUCUCUCAGUUCGCGGGGAGAAGGGAUAAUUCCUGUUCUCUUCAAUUUGUCUAGCUUCUACCAACAGAUACAUUUGUGCCAAAAUACAUGGAUGGAACCUUUACAUGAACAACAAAAUAUGGCAAGUGUUUUCUAAACAUUUUAAAAGUUUAUAAAACUAUUUAUUUUGCUAUCUAUGAUUAUUAUUUGCACUUACAUUAUUUGCAUUUGUUUUUUUCAGAACAGAACUAUGACCCUUUUUUGUGUCCCGACCCACCAGUUGCACAACAGUUACAGGUGAGAGAGAGAGUCGCUUUGUGAUUGGCUGCCCUUCUGCUCCAUAUUCAGAGGUGCUGGAUGAGGCAGAGUGCCCGCAGGGAAAAUGGCGUUGUAAUCAGGAGCCGGCUGUGCUGCCUGAUCAGGUCUUAUACCACCAUGAUGGCACAGUUACUGGUCCACCCCACUUCUAUAUUUAAAUGGAUUGAGCUCAACAAAACAGGGACACUGAGCCCCCCUCUUACCGGGAUCAUCUGUCUGCCUGGUGGACGAGCUGCGUCCUGCCCACUGCACCCAAUUCACAUAGAAAUUUACUCAAAUACUACAGCCUGGGAAGCGUGGGACCGCGGCCAGGCAGCAGCUGCUGACCGGCCAGUGCUGACCUGUGCGCUUAGGCGAACUGGAUUUCACCACACGCCCACCGGCCUGGCCCUGCAUACCUCCACAGGCGGACAGCGGUUAUGUGUGUCCCAGCAUGCCCAGUGUAGCCACGUGGACAUGGAUGCAUGGAAGUGUUCAAACAACAAAAGCAAAAAGGAAAAUACAGUCAGAUCAGUGUAAUUUUUAUUGGUGGUCCUAAAAGAGAAGAAUAAAUCUGUACUAAAUAUAAAAAUUAUUGUUUAGUGUUUACAUGAACAUUUGUAUAAAAUAUAACUGACUAAAUACUUACAGUGUACUUAUUUAUUAAUGAAUUCUGUACUUUAUUUCGUUCAUUUUCAACAACUUGAUUUUUCAACCAUUUUUUUCAUUAUUUAUCCCUGUAUUGUUGUAUGAGACAGUAGAAAAUAUGGGUCAUUUUUAAAAAAUAGUUUGCAAAUGAGUGUAAAACAUGGUACAUUUUAAAAGAGAGGAGUUUAUACACAUCUAUCUGUCCACCGCUUUUUAUUUCCCUACAGCCAUUGAGAUUCCACUCUUGCCUCUUGGCUUUGGCCCACUGUGGUUGCCAUGGCAACCAGUAAAUUGGUUAGCAGGAUGAGUAAUGAUAUGACGUGGUGGAAAUGGAAGGUCCCAACAAAGAACUUAUUACAGCAGCAACUUUUUAUAACUUUCCAUUGUUGUCAAGUGCUCCUGAUAUUAACCUGCCUCUGCCAGGGUUCCCCGGGCCUGAAACAGUGCGUGUGCAUAUUGUCAAGUCUCCAGAGAGAAAAAAGAGUGAAAGAGAGAAAGGGCAAUGGGAGGAGGGCAGUAUCUCUCUCUUCAUCCCCCUCUCUCUCUUCUCAUCACCUUAACAAUUUCUGGGCUAUAGGACGUGCAGAACACUUGUUAAUUCACUUUCGGUUUACCACAUUUCCGCAAAAAUAUAAAGCAGCACACCUGCUUUAAAAUCAGCAUAUUAGAAUGGUUUCUGAAGGAUCAUGUGACACUGAGUAAGGUCAUAGUACUCACUUGUGAAAAUCCUUGUGAAGAAUCCACACGAGCAGCUUACAAGGUAAAAGAGCACUGAGAGAGAGGUAGAUUAGGGGGAAGUGAUAGAGCUGGCACAGGAUGUUUGAGUGUUUGCUCUUGCUUUAACAACAUCCUCUGUGCAGACACCCAGGCAGGCAGUCAGAUGGGGUCGGAGAUAGAAGACUGCAGUCGGCCUGGUCUGCUGCCUGACCCAUUGUUUUACUUAUCUCUGUCCUGGCCUAUCUGCUGAGCCAGGGGCUAUUGAAGAGUGGGCAGGGGGAUGGAUGACCACUGAUAAUAAGACAAAGACAAGUGCUCCUGCUUCAUUCAGAAACUGCAGGGAAGUACUGGCCCUAAUUAGUAGAUCAACAUAUUGGUGCUCAAUUAUCCAAUUCCAGGUCGAAUUGGGUUGGGAUGUAGGCCUGCCUGUUGGAAGAUGUGCAAGUAUGUGCAAGAUUUAAACUUGGAG
rnacentral:lncRNA from 12 species